GGUAAUUAUAGUUUAAAAGGUAAAACUUUAAUGUGUGAUGUUAAUAAUUAAAGGUUCAAAUCCUUUUGAUUACC
rnacentral:tRNA from 1 species